UACGUAGGGUGCGAGCGUUAAUCGGAAUUACUGGGCGUAAAGCGUACGUAGGCGGAUCGUUAAGUCAGGGGUGAAAUCCUGGAGCUCAACUCCAGAACUGCCUUUGAUACUGGCGAUCUUGAGUCCGGAAGAGGUGAGUGGAACUCCGAGUGUAGAGGUGAAAUUCGUAGAUAUUCGGAAGAACACCAGUGGCGAAGGCGGCUCACUGGUCCGGUACUGACGCUGAGGUGCGAAAGCGUGGGGAGCAAACAGG
rnacentral:rRNA from 1 species